UCGAGAAUCUUCGGCAAUGGACGAAAGUCUGACCGAGCGACGCCGCGUGCGGGAUGAAGGCCUUCGGGUUGUAAACCGCUGUCAGUUGGGAGGAAAUACAUAGGGGUUCUCCCUUAUGUUUGACCGAUCUUCAGAGGAAGUCCGGGCUAAGUUCGUGCCAGCAGCCGCGGUAAUACGAACCGGACGAACGUUAUUCGGAAUUACUGGGCUUAAAGAGUGCGUAGGCGGCUCGGCAGGUUGGGUGUGAAAUCCCUCGGCUCAACCGAGGAACUGCGCUCAAAACCGCCAAGCUUGAGGGAGACAGAGGUGAGCGGAACUGAUGGUGGAGCGGUGAAAUGCGUUGAUAUCAUCAGGAACACCAGUGGCGAAGGCGGCUCACUGGGUCUCUUCUGACGCUGAGGCACGAAAGCUAGGGUAGCGAACGGGAUUAGAUACCCCCGUAGUCC
rnacentral:rRNA from 1 species